GCGCAGCUCGUGGCGAGAUUCCCCGCUAGUCUGACUCCAUCCAGGGACAGUCCUCCCUAAUGGUUAUGGUCAAUGCUGAUGGGAACAGCUUAGAAGCUCUGAGACUGAAGCAGUUCCACAGUGUAAAAAAUAGAACACACAGACACGGUGAAGAUUGGAAAAUCAAACAAUGUUAAUAUUACAAAAGGAGACAAUGCUCAUUUCUUUGACUCUCUUUAGUGUGGAACUGAAUUUAAACAAUCAAUCCUCCACAGAUAUAGCUAGAAUAAAGAUCUAAACAUGGGGCAGAAAUGCAAAUCUAUGCCUGAAUACUAACAAGAAAAUCAGUGCUUAAAAAUAUUCAAGAAAAACAAAGAUAGAAGUGAAGAGGAUGCAGUACGCUGCAAGUACUGCAGUAUUGAGGUCAGUGCUCACACUGACAGAAUAAAGGAGCAUGUCACAAGCAAACGAUAUAAGAAGCUUAAAGAAGAAAGUGAGCUUUGGGAUAAACAGUCAGUAUCAGGAGCUUUCACCAGGACUUUAAUGAAAGAGAAGACACAGCAUGAUUGUGUCAAUGCAUGUUCUUUGUUUUGCAAGACAACCACUGUUAAUAGCAGCAGGGCCUAUUGGUGACCUUGUGCGACAAUACUGUCAAGCAGCAAAAACCCUUCCUAAUGCAGACAGCCCAGCUCAUAAGUAUCCACAAGAAAAUGAUGAUGUUUUGGUAUCUAAACUGAUGGAACAAAUUGAUAGAAAUGUGGUGUCUAGUCUGAUUUUUGGCAAGUCUACUGAUGUUUUGUACCAUCCAAUUCCUGGCCUUUUGUUUUUGUUUCUUGAUUUCAAAGUGAAUAAACCCACAUUGUUUUAUGCUGAUGUGACAGUCAUACCCUCUGCUGACACCUGUUUUGUUGAUGCAGUAAUAACAGACAUGUUUGAGAUGUACCAACUAACUUUGAAAAAUGUGGCCACAACUAACACAGAUUCUGCUUCCUACCUACAUGGCUAAGUUUGCACAGAAGAUUAAAUUCAAUCAGAAACCAGAGCUGCUACGUAUUACCUUCUACUGUUCAUCUGAUUAACGUUGCGUUUGUCAGCAGCUACUGCUAUCGAAGAAAUGAAAGACAUGAAAUCUUGCACCACUGAAUUUGGGGCUGUUUUCAAGCAUGUGAACAAGUUGAAGGCUUUGUUUUACACAGUGCAAGAUGAGUGAAGAGCAGACUGCCAAUUACCUACCCUUGUUGUGCCACAUCGGUAGACGAUCUUCUACUUUGCUGCCUGUCAUGUAGAUAAUGCAUGGAUUGUGCUAAUGUGUCUCCUAGAUCAUUCUGCGUUUGUUGGUUCUGAAGCAGAAACUUUGAAGAGUCUGGUAAAUAGCCAAAAUGACCGCCAGAUUCUGUGCACCAAUGUAAUGUUCACUGUUGAAAACUUGGAAUCCCCAUGUGACACACAAAAAAACACUGGAGUUUUCUCUGACUACUGCCAACAUGUUUUUCAGUACAGACAUUUACUAGAUCCUGACAAUCAAAAUCUCAUCUGAAAUGAGCACAGAAGCUGCACGAGAAACAUACAGUGAGAAAACCCAACUGUUUCUGAAAUCGUUCCAACCCAGGAACACGAGAAAACCAAAAAACAUUCAAAACCUUCAACACAAUGCUCUACAAGAAAUGGGAGACAGCUGUGACCUGUAAUCUGAACCCCAAAGUGUUUGGUGCUGAAGAUGCUGACAUUUUGGAAUGUCAUCUAGGUGUUGCACCCAUUCCUCAAGGUGAAUUUUGCAGUGUACUAUGACUGUUAUACCAGAGUGUUUCAACCAGUUACCACUAAGAUUAAAUUUCAAAUCUGAAAGGGGAUUUUACUACGUACAUGAACAUGCCUAACCCUGACAAUGUGAAACUCAGUGUGGUGGCCUUUUGGAACAGUCAUCAAGACACACUUCUCAACUUCAGCAGACUGGCAUGGUGAGCUUUGAAUGCACUAAUUUGCGCAGUUGGAAUAUCUCCAAGACAGCAAGAGGCUUAACAUGAGUGAGGAUACUUUGAAGAAAAUUAUGUGACUGUGCACAAACCAGGAUUUUUAGAAAAAAUUACUAGUGUUGAGGGAGACAAAAUAUACAUUUGUACAUGAAAAAAAUAAUUAUAUGGUAGUAAAAUAUGUAUAAUAUGAAAGGGGUUUAUUUGUUCUUCUUUUUAGCCCAGUUUUAAUGUUUGGAAAAUAAGUACUAAAAAAUUCCACGAUUAUUUUUUUACAAAUAAUAACUGAAAACAUGGUAUACUAUGUAUAACAUAGGCAAUAGAAUUUUAUACUGUAUUUUCUUCAUCGAGCCCAUAAAUUCAUUUUGAACUAUAGCAUGUCUUUUAAAAAAAAUCCAGUCUUGAUUUAAAGACUUCAGGUGAUGGAGAAACUACCAUAUCAUGAGGGAAGUUGCUUUAAUGGUUGAUUUCCCUUACUAUUAAAAACGUGCACCUUAUUUCCAGUUUGAAUUUGUCUAGCUUCAACUUCCCGCCAUUAGAUAAAUAGUUAUAUGACUAUUCUUGAAUACAGAUUGUUACUUAAACAACAUUUACCAUAAUAUAGAGGAAAACAUUAGAUAUAAUUUAUUCUUUGGUAAUACUUAGAUGUGAUUCUUUUUUUUCCCCUAGUAAUGAGUGGAAGUUGGAUUUUUUUUGCAAUGCUAUACUUGAAAAAUCACUUUGCAUCUGCUUAAACCCACAAGAAGUGCACUUUGCGUUAUCUGACAUUUUUAUGGCAAAGUACUGUGACUGAAACCUCCAAGGUAUUAGUUAUUAUUGGUUACUUAAAAUAUUUCGGCAAAUUUUAUUGCUUCAUCUUGUAUUCACUGAAAUAACAUUAGUAAUGAUUAAAUCUUUUGAAGUUUAUACAGACAGAAUACAUUUGUAUUAUGAGAAUCUAAGACGUUGGGACACAGAUUUAGGGGCCUCAAACACAUUCAGUGUUUGAUGGGAAACUAUAAUGUAAAGAAAUAAUAUUAUGAAGGUAGACCAUGUCCCAUCUGCCCUUAAAUUAUUCUGUCCACCAUAUGGAAUUCUGAAAGAAUUUACUUUCCAAUUUAAUUAGUGUAUUCCCAGUACCACCACAUUUUACUAAAGAGAGAACCCAGUCCCAUGCCCACUGAAACCAAUGGGAAUGUGACCGUGGAAUCCCACAGAUGCAGGGUUUGCCCACCCUCUACAGACUCUCAUUAUUUUUUCUUUCUCAAAUUAUUUUAAGAUAUGGUUCUUGGUAAUGCGGUUCAUGUUUGAUGGUUUUUUCCCUGCCUGUUGGGAUUAGUUUGCUUUUGCUAUUUUCUGGACUGGAGUUUCUGUUUAAAUGUCAGUCCAUGUACAUUUGCCUAUUAUUUUGAGAGGUCAGAAAAAAUGGCAAGACUCAACCAUUCAAUUAAUAAUAAAAAAAGAAAAUGUUGGGAGACUUGAUGAUGACCCCCAUAAUGACACGACUUCA